CGUCAAUGCAGCUGCCGUUCGCGCUGACACAUCUGCUCCACGAGCUUGUUCCGGCAAUUGGGAGCGCAAGCUUCUCAGCUUUAAAAGCAAAUAGGCGCAUUCACACGUACGCACAUAUAAAUUUGUGCGUCAAUUUCAUGCUGAUGGCAGCAGUACCUGCCUUAUAGCUCUUGCCUUCAAUUGUGCCGAUUCAGUUUACAAAGGAAAGUUUUAAAAGAUAGUCGUGAUUCGCGGGUGGCUAUUUGUUGUAAACGUGGAAAAAAAUUAUCAAAGCGGACUUCCAUCGGUAAUAUUGAAAAUCAAAGUAAACACCGAAGUAUUAAUCGAAUUGGGUGUAACCUUCACAAUAGGUAUCGACGUACGAAGUAUUCUAAAGAUCUACAUACCUAUCUAUUCGAAAAGCCAGUGAAUGUAAGGGGAGUGUUAACAAUUU